CGAGGGGGGCAAAUGUUGUUCGGAAUCACUGGGCGUAAAGGGAGCGUAGGCGGGUUCUUAAGUUAGGUGUUUAAUCCCGGGGCCCAACCCCGGACCGGCACUUAAAACUGGGAAUCUUGAAUAGUGGAGAGGUCGGUGGAAUUGGGGGUGUAGCGGUGGAAUGCGUAGAGAUCCCCAAGAACACCAGUUGCGAAGGCGGCCGACUGGACACAUAUUGACGCUGAGGCUCGAAAGCAUGGGGAGCAAACAGGAUUAGAUACCCUGGUAGUCCAUGCCAUAAACGAUGAAUACUAGGUUUUGGGCCCGUCAACGGUCCAGAGCCGCAGCUAACGCGUUAAGUAUUCCGCCUGGGGAGUACGGUCGCAAGACUG
rnacentral:rRNA from 1 species